UAAUAAAAACAUUUUUAUUUUAAAACACGCCCGAUCUCGUCUGACCUCGGAAGCUAGGAAGGGUUGGGCCUGGUUAGUACUUGGAUGGGAGACUGCUUGGAAAUACCUGCUCCUGUAAG
rnacentral:rRNA from 1 species